rnacentral:rRNA from 1 species
UAGGGAAUCUUCGGCAAUGGACGAAAGUCUGACCGAGCAACGCCGCGUGAGUGAAGAAGGUUUUCGGAUCGUAAAACUCUGUUGUUAGAGAAGAACAAGGACGUUAGUAACUGAACGUCCCCUGACGGUAUCUAUCCAGAAAGCCACGGCUAACUACGUGCCAGCAGCCGCGGUAAUACGUAGGUGGCAAGCGUUGUCCGGGUUUAUUGGGCGUAAAGCGAGCGCAGGCGGUUUCUUAAGUCUGAUGUGAAAGCCCCCGGCUCAACCGGGGAGGGUCAUUGGAAACUGGGAGACUUGAGUGCAGAAGAGGGGAGUGGAAUUCCAUGUGUAGCGGGGAAAUGCGUAGAUAUAUGGAGGAACACCAGUGGCGAAGGCGGCUCUCUGGUCUGUAACUGACGCUGAGGCUCGAAAGCGUGGGGAGCAAACAGG